rnacentral:misc_RNA from 1 species
CCGGAUUUUGGACUAAAGCCCAGUAAGCAUCCAACUGAAUUUUUCUGCAAAACCUUGACAGCAAGUGAUACAAGUACACAUGGUGGAUUCUCAGUGCCGCGAAGGGCAGCAGAAAAGCUUUUUCCUGCAUUGGAUUACACCAUGCAACCACCAACUCAAGAGCUUGUUGUCAGAGACUUGCAUGAUAAUACCUGGACAUUUCGCCAUAUAUAUCGCGGGCAGCCUAAGCGGCACCUUCUUACAACUGGG